AGAAUCCCCCUGUGCCGUAUCAGCCUUCCACCAGCUGAGUGUACGUUCAGUGUAAUUUCUUGGAACUCACGCCGUCAGUGCUGUGACUCUGUGAAUCCAGACUCUACAUCAUGGGUGCUGAGAGCUGCCAGUGGGGGCAGCCUUGUGGUGACGGGUUUCCAGCUGUGUGUGGUGUGGCUGCUUGACUCUCACUGAGUGUGACCUUUGCCCUUCUCGUGGGUUGGAGUGACCAAGGCACGUGUGAUUGUGGUGUAUUCUGGUUCAUUGAAGGACCUGCUGACCUCCCACUGGUAAGCCUCAGCCCUGGCCUUUUCCCUGUA